AGCGAACGCUGGCGGCAGGCUUAACACAUGCAAGUCGAACGCCCGUAGCAAUACGGGAGUGGCAGACGGGAGAGUAACACGUGGGAACGUGCCCUUCAGUUCGGAACAACCAAGGGAAACUUUGGCUAAUACCGGAUACGUCCGUAAGGAGAAAGAUUUAUCGCUGAAGGAUCGGCCCGCGUCUGAUUAGCUAGUUGGUGAGGUAACGGCUCACCAAGGCGACGAUCAGUAGCUGGUCUGAGAGGUUGAUCAGCCUCACUGGGACGGAGACACGGACCAGACUCCUAAGGGAGGCAUCAGGGGGGAAUCUUGGACAGUGGGGGCAAGCCUGAUCCAGCCAUGCCGCGUGGGUGAUGAAGGCCCUAGGGUUGUAAAGCCCUUUCGGCGGGGAAGAUAAUGACGGUACCCGCAGAAGAAGCCCCGGCUAACUUCGUGCCAGCCGCCGCCGUAAUAC
rnacentral:rRNA from 1 species